UCACCUUUCCCUUUUUCCUCUAGUGUUCCCAUUCCUCAUGGCCGAAAAUCCUCUCUCUCAUCCUCAUGUGAAGUUUAUUUACUUUUGUCUCUUAAAUUUCUAUCUUGGCUGACUCAUGGAAGGUUCUUUUCCAAUCAAAAUCAACCACCAAGAGUUCUAGGGGCUAUUUUGGCGGACCCAUUUGAAAGACCAUCCCUCUAAGUUUGGUUAAUUCAAUAGAUGAGAUUUUGAGAUUCUUGAUGAUGGACCUAGUGACGGGAUUGGUUAAUUUCCUUUAUUUUUACAACUAAGAGAACAAAGUUGGUAUCUGAGAGGACGAGAGUUGAAGGAAUGUGUUGCUAUCACCCAAGAAUGCCACCAAUAUUAUGGACACUUAGAGGGUGUUUGGUUUGAAGCAUCACUUAAUCUUAGUUCUCAUAAUUUAGUUCUUAUAACUCAAAACUCUUACUCAUAUUUCAUAUCUUAUUAUCUAUUUUUAUCUUUAACUCACUCCCAAUUUUUUUGGCUUCAAUUUUUACUUUGCAAAACUCAACUUUAUCUCAAAAUGGUGGAGCUAGAUCGAGUCAAAACAGCCCUCCCUCCUUACCUGUGUGAACAUGCACUCUCCAGUUAGGAGUGAGCCUCUAGGAGUCGAAGAGGCCAAACCCAGGACCCAAAUAAAAAAACCCAGCCACCUUCACUGAU